UACAGAGGUCUCAAGCGUUGUUCGGAUUCAUUGGGCGUAAAGGGCGCUUAGGCUGCGGGGCAAGUCGGGUGUGAAAUCUCAGAGCUCAACUCUGAAACUGCACUCGAUACUGCUUUGCUUGAGGACUGGAGAGGAGAUUGGAAUUCACGGUGUAGCAGUGAAAUGCGUAGAUAUCGUGAGGAAGACCAGUGGCGAAGGCGGAUCUCUGGACAGUUCCUGACGCUGAGGCGCGAAGGCCAGGGGAGCAAACGGG
rnacentral:rRNA from 1 species